rnacentral:lncRNA from 1 species
AAAAAUCUUAAAGCCUCCUCCCAUUGCUGCAGUUGCCAUAGGACUGAGCCAUACAAAUGUGAUCACAAGACGAAGGCAUAAACUGAGGAAUCUGGCGUGGCCCCAGUGGCUGUCUAAGUCUGUAGACACAGAGAUACUUUUAAGGAAGUAAAUUAAAGGUAAAAAACC